rnacentral:rRNA from 1 species
AUUGAACGCUGGCGGCAGGCCUAACACAUGCAAGUCGAACGGUAACAGGAAGCAGCUUGCUGCUUUGCUGACGAGUGGCGGAAGGGUGAGUAAUGUCUGGGAAACUGCCCGAUGGAGGGGGAUAACUACUGGAAACGGUAGCUAAUACCGCAUAACGUCGCAAGACCAAAGAGGGGGACCUUAGGGCCUCUUGCCAUCGGAUGUGCCCAGAUGGGAUUAGCUAGUAGGUGGGGUAACGGCUCACCUAGGCGACGAUCCCUAGCUGGUCUGAGAGGAUGACCAGCCACACUGUAACUGAGACACGGUCCAGACUCCUACGGGAGGCAGCAGUGGGGAAUAUUGCACAAUGGGCGCAAGCCUGAUGCAGCCAUGCCGCGUGUAUGAAGAAGGCCUUCGGGUUGUAGAGUACUUUCAGCGGGGAGGAAGGGAGUAAAGUUAAUACCUUUGCUCAUUGACGUUACCCGCAGAAGAAGCACCGGCUAACUCCGUG